CCUGAUCAAUAAACCUCAUUUUUAUUGCAUCGAUCUCCGUCUCUGUGUUUCUGUGAGUGGGACAUCCUGGACUAAGGCUCAUUGGGUCUUACAAGGUCAGAAGAGUUGGAUGCCUUGAAACUGGAGUUACAGGAAAUUGGUUUCCUGCUUGAUGUCUGAGGAGGCAUUUGCUAAGAUUCAGCCUCACCAAAAAUCAUGAUGCUGAUGACAAUGGCGGCCGCCCUCUGCCAGGUGGCCACUCAGAGCUUGGAGCUUGUCCUAGCAUUCCCAGGAAGUGAUCACAGCUCAUCCUGCACAGGUCCUUGUGGUCCCUAAAUGGUCUGCAGCAAGACAGAGCGCCCCUAGUUAUGAGGACCCUGCUCAUUGCUGGGACCUGAAGCCAAUGGCUCAUCUCUCCUUCCCACCAUUCACUUGCUUCACUUUGCUUCCUCGAUUCACCACAUAAAUCACUUGCGCCCAGGCCUUUUCCUUAUGGUUCGCUUUGGGGCAGUGUACAUGGAGAUGAAUGCCAUUUCAGUGUGCUUAAGACUUGUUCUUAGGACCCAUACUAUGAAGCACCUU
rnacentral:lncRNA from 1 species